UCCGGUUUUGUUGUUCACUCUGCAUGCAUCGAUUGGCUCUUCUGCCUAUUUGGGUGAGUUGCUUCUUAUGUUUUUUUAUUUUCUUUUAUUUUUUACUCUUGAAUUUGUUUUUUUUUGGCUUUUUUAGUUCUUCAUAUUUUUUGAUCGACUGUCAAAGAAUGGAAGAAUUUAUGAGGAAGCUAGUACCAAGCAUUUGAAUGAAUAUGGAGAAGCUGGGUUGCGUAUGUUGGAACUUGCUUAUAAAAAGCUUGAGGAGUCCGAGUAUUCUGCUUGGAACAACGAAUUUCAGAAAGCAAAAUCAUCUAUUGGGGCUGAUAGGGAGGUGAUGCUCGAGCUAGUAGCAGAGAAGAUGGAAAAAGACUUGAUCAUGGUUGGUGCUACAGCCUACAGCUGUGGAGGACAAAUUGCAAAAAGGGGUGCCCCAAUGCAUAGACAAUCUUGCACAAGCUGGUCUCAAGAUCUGGGUGUUGACAGGGGAUAAGAUGGAAACUACAAUCAACAUAGGGUUUGUCUCUAACCAUUUAAGUAGAAAGCACUGCCGUGAAUAAUGAUGAGGCUGUGAAAGAGAACAUUUUGAAUCAAAUUACAAAUGCCUCUCAAAUGAUCAAGUUGGAAACAGAUCCACAUGCAGCGUUUGCACUAAUUAUUGAUGGAAAAACUUUGACCUAUGCUUUGCACGCUGAUAUGAAGCAUCUAUUCUUGGAAUUAGCUGUUGAUUGUGCAUCUGUCAUAUGCUGUCGUGUCUCCCCUAAGCAGAAGGCAUUGGUAACGAGGUUAGUAAGACAAGGAACUGGGAAGACUACAUUAGCAAUUGGUGAUGGUGCAAAUGAUGUUGGAAUGAUUCAAGAAGCUGAUAUUAGUUCUACAUAGUGAUCUGAGGUUUGGUGUGUCUAUUUGAAAGCAGAAAAAAAGGUAGAUAUAUAAAUAAAAAUAGCCGAAAUGACUUGCCCUUUAAAAUAAUAUAUAUACUACAGCCUACCCUAUGUGCAGAAAAAUUCCAAGACAUUUGACAGAAGCAUCAUUGUCAGGUGCAGCCGUGUCUACAGUAGCAGCUCUUGCCAUGAUGUUUUUACUUUGGAAUGGUAAGUAGUAUCUUUUUAAUUGGUUGUUUAUCACUUGAUAUUACUCAAAUUCAACUGAAUGGGCAUUUAGUGACCCUUUUUUUCCUUUAAUUUGAUGUUAGUAUAAUGUUCUGUAGAAAAGUCUUUUUGUUAAUUUCCUUUGGUUUUCUCUUUUGACAGUUUUUUUCCUUUCCUUUUCUACUGUUCUACAUUUCUUUAGUUGACAUACAUUAUCAAAUUAUAUUUCCAAUCUUUUGUGGCCAAUCUGAUGAUGAUUAUUAGUUGGGAGCUUCUCAAGUAUUUAUGUUUAUUAAUAAAGGGAAACAAGAACUUCUAAAAUC